AUACCGUGUUGCGGGCAACUAACAUAGAGAUGUUUGAACCUCUCCCAAUAUUCAUAGAGGGUUUCCACAUCUCUUUGUUUGAUACUGCAAAUUUCCCUACGGAGUGU